UGUUUAGGGUUGUUUAAGGUCAGGGCCGGGACCCUGGGUUGGGGUUUUAGGCUCAGGGCCAGGGCCCAGUGUUAGGGUAUUAGUGUCAGGGCCCAGGGUUAGGGUUUUAGGGUCAGAGCCCAGGGUUAGGGUUUUAGGGUCAGGGCCCAGGUUUAGGGUGAUUUCCAGGAAGUGACAUCACAAUGACUCAAGCUACCACUUACUGUUGAUUGUGACAAAAUGCCAGCUGAGGCACAUGCCUUGGGAGCUAAGUGGUUGCUGCCCUUGACUACUAUGAAGACUGGUGUGGGAAGGGUCGCUUUGGAUGCACUUGAGCUGGGGUCCCCAACCCCUUAGCCAUGGAGCCGUAAGGAGCCACACAGCAGGUGGGACCAUCCAGUUUCAGGAAAACAAGCUUAACACGCCCACUGAUUCUACAUUAUGCUCCUACCUCCCGGCAGCCUGGCCAGGCCCAGAACUCUCUCCAGUCAGCCUCUACAGACCAAGCUCAUGACUCACAAUGGCCUAUUGAGGCCCAUACCCUACCUCACGGCAGUCUCCGCAGAUGAGCCUACUGCCUCACAACAGCCUCCACAGGCACAGCUCCGUCGUUACAAUGGCCUCUUUAGACCCAGCUCCUGCCUCCCAGCCUUCUCUCCAGGCCCUGAACUUUCUCCGUAAGUUGAGGUAGCUGGGACUGUAGGUAUACAUGAUGAUACUUGGCUAAUUUUUAAAUUGUUUUGCAGACAUGGGGUCUCACUUUGUUGGCCAGGCUGGUGUCAAACUAAUGGCCUCAAGUGACCCUUCCACCCCUGCCUCCCAUCUUCGAGGUAUGUGCCACCACAAGGAGCACUUGUUCAAUUUUCUAAAGAAAAAAUUUCUAAAGUAAGGCUGUGGGAUGAUGGCAGGAAGAUAAAAGAAAAACAGAAGAAUAAGUUAGAAUGACUUAUUCACACAUAUUUUUUGACAGCAAGAAGAACUGUUAGUAUAUACAUUCCUUACAAACAAACAAACGGCAGAUAAACAAUGUUGUAUAGGAACUUCAACACACACUGUACAAUAUUCCCACUUUGCUGACAUAAGUUAUGGAAAUUUCGUGGUUUCCUUGAGUGUCGCUACCAGUAUUUUGCUCUUCUGACGAUUUUUAUCAACUUCCUCAUCUGUUAACUUCUCUCCAAAGUAUGUCAUGACACGACAUACUGCCGCUGCACGAACACGGCCAGUGUCUUCCUAUUAAACAUGUAGAAUGCUUUCCUAAUUUCUCCUUUUACUCUCUGUCUUUGUGUUCUGCAUUUUCCUUACUUUUAUUGUCAGAAACUCCAGAAAGUCAAUCGUACUAAUUUAUCACGAUUUGCUUUAUUAAUUUAUACUAUGCUUAUAUGGAAUUUUGCCCAACAGACCUCAUUACAAUUUGGGCCAGGGCCCAGGGUUAGGGUUGUUUCAGGGUCAGGGCCAGGGCCCAGGGUUAGG